UACGUAGGGUCCGAGCGUUGUCCGGAAUUAUUGGGCGUAAAGGGCUCGUAGGCGGUUGGUCACGUCGGGAGUGAAAACUCAGGGCUCAACCCUGAGCGUGCUUCCGAUACGGGCCGACUAGAGGUAUGGCAGGGGAGAACGGAAUUCCUGGUGUAGCGGUGGAAUGCGCAGAUAUCAGGAGGAACACCAAUGGCGAAGGCAGCUCUCUGGGACGGUACUGACGCUGAGACGCGAAAGCGUGGGGAGCGAACAGG
rnacentral:rRNA from 1 species